GACGAACGCUGGCGGCGUGCUUAACACAUGCAAGUCGAACGAAGUGGCGAACGGGUGAGUAACGCGUAAUCAACCUGCUCUUCAUAGGGGGACAACAGUUGGAAACGACUGCUAAUACCGCAUACUGCUGUAGGGGAUUGCGUCUGAUUAGCUAGUUGGAGGGGUAACGGCCCACCAAGGCGAUGAUCAGUAGCGUGUCGGAGAGGAUGGACGGCCACAUUGGGACUGAGACACGGCCCAGACUCCUACGGGAGGCAGCAGUGGGGAGUAUUCCGCAAUGGACGAAAGUCUGACGGAGCAACGCCGCGUGAGUGAUGACGGCCUUCGGGUUGUAAAGCUCUGUUAAUCGGGACGCGGUACCGGAAUAGAAAGCCACGGCUAACUACGUGCCAGCCGCCGCGGUAAUUC
rnacentral:rRNA from 1 species